CCAGGGAAAAGCCUCUCAAGUGCCCUGGGGCCUUCUCCAAGAUCUGAGAACUGCUCCCCGCGGGAUGGGGCCUGGCAGGGACUUUAGGAACAACUCUGGGUGGCCGUCGGAGACUCGGGUGCAGCUGGGAAGCCGAGGUCCUCCAUGCUGGUGCAGUCUCAUCCGAAAGGCCAUCUUCUCCUCCUUGAGCUUCACACCCACCCUCACGGUGAAAUCCAUCCACAGAGAGAGACACAGCGAGAGAGGAAACACAAGCAGGGGGAGUGGGAGAGGGAGAAGAAGGCUUCCCGCUGAGCAGGGAGCCCGAUGUGGGGCUCGAUCCCAGGAUCCUGGGAUCAUGACACGAGCCAAAGGCAGACGCUUAAUGACUGAGCCACCCAGGUGCCCCUUGGAGUGGUCUUCAUCGCAGCCUUGUUAUCCAGAGACAAUAGGUAAGCACUUAUGAAAAUAUUCCACUUUUUGAGUAGGCAUAAAAUGUUAAUUAAAACCAGGAGUUAAGGGGUGCCUCGGGGGGUUCAGUUGGUUAAGCAUCUGCCUUCAGCUCAGGUUAUGAUCCCAGGCUCCUGGGAUCGAGCCCUGCCUCGGGCUCCUUGCUCAGUGGGGAGUCUUCUUCUCCCUCUCCCUCUGCCUGCCACUCCCCCUGUUCGUGUUCUUUCUCUCUCAAAUAAAUAACAGCAAAAUCUUUUAAAAAAUUGUUUAUGUGGUAAGUAUCCUGUAGCCUUGUUGGCAACAGUCUCCCCCGCCCAACAUGACCAGAAGGGAUGGGUGAGGAAGGGAUGUUAUAUCUACAUUAUAUAAUAUAUAUUACACGGUCAGUAAUGGCAUGUUCUGUAAGACUCUGUAGCAGCAGAUGGCUUAAUGUGGUGGCUCUGAGCAAGGCUGCUGGGUUUGAAUUCCAGCACUGCCAUUCAUAAGCUGUGUGACCGUGGGAAAAUCACUUACCUUCUCUGAACCUCAGUUACGCCAUCUGUGAAAUCAACAUAAUAAUAGUACUUAACUCAUACAGUUGUAGUGAGGGUUAGAUGGGCUCAUGUAGGGAAGACACUUAAAACCGGGGAAACCCAUUAUGUUAGCUGUUGUCAUCAGUACUUGGGAAAAAGCUGAUGUCGUUCAAGAACUUGAAAAGGGCAGAAUUUGAAAUUAUAUAUUAGUCAUGGAGAGUGAACACCAAAACACUCCAAAGAUGUCUGAAGUAACAGGAAGGAUUAAUGUCAAAAUGGUGUCAGUGGUUGCCUCUGAGUUGCAGGCAUUAGUUACCUUGAUUUUUUUUUUCU